ACACAUAUAAAUUUUUAAAUCGAUAUGAUGUUUAUAUCAUAUAGAUCGAAUAUUGUACUUAUUAAAUAUAUAUUUAACCAUUUAAUGUUUCUUACACAAUAAAUAUAAUUAGACAUUUUGAAAUUACUCUAUAUUUAACAUGCAUGAUUUAGUUGAAUAAAAUAUAAAAUAUAUUGAUGAAAUCAUUAAAAUAUUAAUUAUACAAAAUUAUAAAUAGAUAUAUUGUUUUAUACUUAUGUAAUGCUGAAAAUAUAUUGUAAUAGGCCCAAUUUACCCGGCCCGUUAGAUAAAUAAACGCCAAAUUAAAACAAAAAAAAACAACAAAACAAAUAAACAAAUAAACGUCCAAUAUUAAAAUAAAAAACCAAUUAGCCCAAUCAGCCUAAGCCCAAAACCCUUAGCCCAAGCCUAACCUAAACCCAAAUACAUUCCCUAUCCCAAUCGUGUUACAAGCCCAACACAAAAAUGAAUCAGAAACCCUAGCAGCAUGGCUCCCAGCGCCGCAGCAGUAGCGCCUCUCUGCUCUCCUUCGCACACGCAGAUGCCUUCGCACGCCUCAGUCGCCGCUCCAGCAAGCCAUCAAGCCGCAAUCAACCUCUGGCCUCGCAUGCGCGCCACUGUCACUCGCGCGAGCCUCAGUACGCACACGUGCUUCUUCUCCUCCAGGCCGUACUUGCAAACAAACAAACAAAAAUAGCACAGCAAAAAGAAAAAGGACGAUUGUAUUUUAUUUUAUUUUCGUUUCGGCUAUAAAAGAGCCAACAAAAUCUGUAAAAAGUUUCCUUUUUUACGAUAUCAACACACAGACACACAGGCAUAUUGUGUACAAAAAAAGAUUCAGAGAGAAAUAAAAAAAUCAAAAAUUCGAAAGGUGAUGGCAGUUUUUUUUCCUUGGUUUUUCUUUGUCUUUUGGCCGUUUCUUUUCAUUUCUGUUUUAUAUCUAUAAGCGAAACAACAAAAAAGGGAAGAAAAGGAAGGAGUCGUACCUUGUCGUAGGAAGCCGUUGGAUCUCUGACCCUCUCCGUUGCAAUCGGAGCCUGGGUGGAGGUCGUAGACGCAAGAGCGGCGCAGUACCUGGGGUAAGCACCUAGGUUUCUUUGAAAGGGGAAAUGAAAUCUGGUGUUUAGGUUUUGUUUUUUUAGUUUAUAAACAACUUAAAACGGCGCCGUUUAAGCCACUUAGUUUCAGCAACCCGCGCGGUGACCCGACCUGGGGAGGAUUCGCGCGUUCUGACAUUUUGGUUUAUUUGCGCUUAGAGUCCCUUCAUGUUUUGCUCAGUUUCAAUCAGAUUUCUUCCCAUUUUUCUUAAUUUGUACCGCAUAUUUAAUUUUAUUUUCAUUUCGAUCCAAAGACAAACGACGCCGUUUGGAGGCUAGACCCGCGCAGUGACCCGACCCGGGGUAGGAUCCGCGCGUUUUAGUUCAAGGGUCUAUUUGCACGACGAUUCCCUAUGUGUUUGGCGUAAUUGCAAUUUGAUUUUCUUUAAUUUUUUCAAUUUGUACAGCAUAUUUGAUUUAGGUUUCAUUUCGAUCCUUGUUUAAAACGGCAUCGUUCUCACUAUUUAGAUUUGAGCAUUCAAACUUUGCGUUUAAUUAUUAUUUUAGUCCCGUUGAGUUUAAUCAAUCACCAAUUUAGUUCGAAUCUGCGUAUUUUAUACUUUUAAUUUGGUAUUUAAUUAGUUUGUUUAGCACAUUUUUUUAAUAUGAUAAAUCUUGUUUUGAUAUAUUAUUUUUGAAAAGAUUAACAUUAGCUCAAUAUUUAACUUUAGAUAGUGUUUUUAAAUUUACUAUUAUUAUAGUUUAAAACAUAAUAAGUUAUUAUUUUAAUUUGUUAUUAACAUUUUUGAAUUCAUCAUACACUAAUAUUUUGAAUCUAUUGUAUAUAUUUAUUUAAUUUUGGUUUUACCCUUUUUAUUAUUUCUAAUUUUAUUUAAAUUCCAAUUUUAAACUCAUUGAUACUAUUGUAUUUAUUUCAAAAUACUAUUAUACAAUGUUGUUAUUAUUUUAUUUCAAGUCUAUUUCGAGAUCAUGUAUAAAUCUUUUUUAGAACGUUUGACAUAGGAUUCAUUAGGCGUAAUUCCUCUUUUAUUAUUUUGGGUAUAUUUUAGAAAUUGUACAUUAAUUUCUUUGAUGUUGGGUUGUCAAUAUUGGCAUUUGUAUAAUAUUAUUAAAACAAUUGUUGCUAUUCUUAUUUGUAUUUACCUAUUGCUUGUUUGUUACUUCUUAGUAUGUGUUUGAAUUAUAAUUUAUUUUUUAAUUACACAUUAAUUAUGCUACAUUUGUUUUUCUUAAAAUGUGUUCUAUUAAAGCACUACAAUCCUUUCAUUUCUUAAUUUUUAAAAAAAAGCUUGGUGUUCAUAGUUAUCGAGAGGAUUGUGCCCUUCAAUUCUUCUCGAUAAAUCUAGAUAGCCAAGUGGUUAUUUUAUUAAAACCAUACAAUUUUAAAAUAAAGCUUUUAAGAUUUCAAAAUGUUUGGAUCCUAACUUACUGGAUAUGAUAUUUUGUUAUCUCGAUUUUGAAAGUAAAGGCAAUACCCGAUAUUUGGAAUCCUCGAGAGAAUUGAGCCCUAGCGUAUUGGGUUUUUAAUUUUUCUCGUUGAAUCUAAAUAAUCAAAUUUUCUUUAAUAAAAACGCAUAAAUAAAAGCACAUUCUCAGGAAUUCGAUACGUCGUGUCCUAAUGCAUUGGAUAUGACAUGUUAUUUUCUCGAAAUGAGGAUUCUUCUAAAAAUAAAGGCAAUAUUCGAUAUUUAGGAAUUUUGUGAAAUCGAGCCCUAACUUAUUGGGUCUUGAUUUUCUCAUUUAACCCAAAUAAUCGGAUAUCCUUCUCAAAAUGCAUAGGUUUUAAAAGUCAAGAGAUAAACUUAAUUUUGAGGAUUUAAAAUGUUACACUCUAACUUAUUGAGUGUGACGAUUUAUUUCUUCGAAAUAAGUGAGUCACAUCAAUCAAUUUCAUUCUAUUCAAAUUCUCUUUUCAAAGGAUCGUAUUUUAAAAAAUCUUUUCAAAUUCUCGACAUUAAGACAUUAAACAAUCAAUUCGGUACCAAUUUUAGGCGUCACGAGGGUGCUAACCCUUUCUCGUGUGUAACCGACUCCCGAACCUGUUUUUUCAAAAUUCGCAGACUUAAAAUUAUUUUCAAGGUGAUCCGAUCGCACCAUAAUAAAAGAUCAAUGGCGACUCCCAUUUUCAUUUUCAAAGUCGACUCCGAUUUUUCAAAAAUUUAAAAAAUGGUUUCGACAUAUACUAGUGCAAAACAAGUUUGUUAGCAUUGACAAGAAAAAUAAACCAAGAAUUAAGAAAUAAAAUUUACUGGGCCGUGGAGGAACCACUGCCUUAGAAACGAAUUCGCUCUGAUUGAUGUAAUCGUAUAGUGAAUGUUGUCUCCUAAGCUUAACACAGUGCUACGAUAUUCGUACACCCAAAUAAAGAAGGUGGAACACAAUUGAUAUUGCUCUUCUCAGGAAAAUCACAUUAAGAUCAAUUUCCAGAAAAGUUUAAAAAGGUCACAGUCGGUUCCGUUUCAAACGCCAAAUUUCUAGAUAGAAUUUACUCUAAUGUAAUUUAGGGAAAAAUGGCAAAAAUUUAAAAAAAAGAUGGAAAAGAGGCGAGGAGGAGGAAAGAGUUUUCUGAAUGUUGCAUUUUGCUUUUUAUAUGAAAAUGUGGAAAAUAACUCUCUAUUUAUACUAGUAACAAAAGGGUAAAAUAGUAAAUAUUCAAAGGCAAAAGAGUAAAAAUCAUUUCCGUGCAGCAGCAAAAAAUAUAUUUUAUUUCAAAUUUUCGUAACAGUCAAAGAAAAAGUAAAAUUAUUUUUAAAGAAAUUAUUUUCUUGAAAAUAAUAUAAGAGUCUUAUCUGAAAAAAUACAAAAAUACGAACCUAGCAACAGCAACACGCGUGUGUUAGACUUAUAACCAAAUACCCUAUGUAACUAAGAAGUAUAGCUAUAUAUAAACUCUGUUAAUAGUCAAUACUUAACCAGUAUGGGAUAUACUUAGUUACCAACCAUCCUUUCUCUUUAUAUAAUAUAUAUUUCCAUAUCAAGAUGCCUCCAACUUUUGUCAUCGUCAUUGAGAUUAAUAACCUUUACGAGGGUUAAAGGUAUAACUAAAUAUUAGGUUCUACUGAUAUAUUUGAUUUUAAUUGAUAUUUAUUAUUUUUAUACAAUUGAUAUUUAUUAUUAUAGUUUAAAUUACGGCUAAAUUUAACAUUCUGAAAUUUUUAUUGUAUUUUGCCCUUUAAAAUUAAGUUGGGAUGAUUUAAAGAUAAAAUUUAACCAAAGAAUUCCUCCAAAUACUUCAUUUUAAUAGCAACAAUAACAUAAAAUAAUAAUAAUAAUAAUAAUAGAAAGGCCUAAAAUGGGAAAAUUAUUGUUUUUGUAAAUUAAACACUCUUCGUUAUUUUUUAAAAUAUUUGUUAAACAAAUUAAGUAUCAUUCCUCCAUAUUUAAAGAGCACUCUUGUUUGUUAAAUUCAAUAAAAGAUGAAAAUAUUAGUGAGUAUAGUAACAAACUCAUCCUUAAUUAAAAAAAUCAAUGAAAAUAAAAGACGGAAAUGACAAAAAUCUUGAACCUGUUAAAAUAAAUGUAGAAAUGAUAGAAAAAUAGGGAUUGAGGACUUGGAUUCAAGAUUAUUAAAUCUCGCAUAAAGAAAGGGUGCUUUCAUGAUGAAGGGGUAUGGCUUGGGGAAAUUUCCCAGGGACCCACUCUACCUAGGUUUAUGUUGUAAUUAGUAGGUUUACCUAACAUAAGUAUUUCUUUCUAAUUUUUAAUAUUAUUAAAAAAAAUACCAAUAAACCAUGUCCUUGUAUUCAUAUUGAUAGACAAAAUGUUCCAUUGAUUGAAUGCGAAACCCUACAUAUGAAAUCACUGUUCAUAAUCAUAUUUGUUACUUUUGUACAUUUUUGUUCAAAUAAAUUUAGAAUAUGGAAUGGACUCCAUUACUUGUACUUGAAAAAGCAAAUACUGAUUAAUAAAAUCGGGAAUGUGAGCUGCCACGUUAAAUUAAAUUAGACAAAAAUUGAACUUUAAAACAUGGAAAAAGAAGACAAGGAAGCCGUGUUCAUAUACUAAUAGAAUUCCAACUCCAAUCUUUGUCAAGAAAUGGACAUUUGAUGACGUGUACAGAUUUAUUAUACUCACCAAUUAUUGUCUUGUCAAGAAAAAGCAAUGCAUGAUUACCAAGCUUACACCUCUUCUUCGCCUUUUAACCCAACUUUUGACUAUUGAUUUCGCAACCCACGUUUGCGUAAUCCUAACCCUUCAUUGUGCCAUCCACUACUAAUCCAUCACAUCACAUCUUCUCACUCUAAUUUUUUUUUUAAAUUUAAUCUUUAUUUUUAUUAAAUCCUCUUAAAAUUGAUAAAAAAUUAUUAUUUUUUAUUUUUGUUAAUGUGGUAUAUACGUGAAUUAUCACUCAAUAUUUAAUUAAUUUUUAAAUUUUAAAAAAUUAUAGAAUUUAUUUUUAAAAAUUAAAAAUAUUAUAUAUAAUAAUUUUUAAAUUUUAAAAACUAAUUAAAUACUAACAUGUCAUUCGCACAACAAUUCAUAUGUAUAUCAUAUCAACAAAGUUAACAAACAAUAACUUUUAUAUAUUUUUUUAGAUAAUUUAAUAAAAAUACAAAUUCAAAUAUUAAAAAAGAUAAAAAAAAUUAAAUUAAAUUAAAUGAAAGCCUAAAAUAAUUUUUUUUAUAAAGUUAAAAUACCAAAAAGUUCAUUACCUCAAUUUUCACAACAAUUGUGUGUUACUUUUAAGAUUAAUAGUCCCUUUUAAUUCUCUCUUUUAAUAAUAUUAUUUUUAAAGUUUGAAUCUGUAUUUUUUUUUCUCCAAGUGUUAUGUGUUUCUUUAUCACAAUUAAUACUUGAGUUUUAUUUAAAUAAGAAGUAUUAUUAAAAAAAAUUAUUCCAUACAUAUUAUGCGGAGUUUUUUAUACUCUACAAACGAAUUAAGAAUGUGACAUGUUGUUGGGGAUCGACCUGAUUAAGCAACAAACAAGUAAAAAAUAGCGGAAAAAAUUAAAAAAAUUGAACACAUACAAAGUUAAUGUGGAAACCCCCUCCAAAGAGGAUAAAAAACCACGGAAAAAGAUAAUUUUACUAUAAUGACAAAAGAAUGAAGAAUACAAAAGAUGAAGAUAAAAACUAUACCCCGAAACCUGAAACCAAAGCACCCUCAAAACAUAAACACAAAAUUCUUCAAAAGUGUUAUGAGUUCUAAUCUUUUAAUGGAUUUUUUUUUCUAAGGUCGUAAAAGAGCCUAUUUAUAGGCUAAAUUCGUAGAUCAAAUAAUAAUAAAAUAAUCUAGACUAAUCAGAGUUCGACUAAAACAAUUAAACAGAGUUUAACUGGGAGAUUAUCUCUCAAAUUUGACUGAAAUAUAAUGCAUACUCAACAAAUCUCUACCUUAACUCAUAUUUUCACAAAGUCCAUCACAGGCCUAUCUUGAACUAUACAAUGAAUUGACUGAGUCGAAUCUAUGCUUAGAAGCUGGAUGACUUCUAGCCUUCGACUUGUGCACUGCCAAAUCAAAACUAACCUGGGUUUGAUUCUCACAAAUACAGUGUCCUAACUUUUCAAAACCAACAUCCAAAAGAGAAUCAUUCUUCAACGAAACGGUCAUACCUUUUUCCCUCCUAUGACCAAGUUGACUUCGACUCCGUAACGAACGAGGGACAUCCGGUUUCAUCGAUCACUAUAAAACCUUCAAGAAUAUAAAGAUUGUCAGUCCUUUUAUGUUUUAACAAAAUGAGAGCCCCAUGAGACACCUUAAUGCCGCUCGACUCGAUGUUGAUUAUGCAACCUUUCGAGUCUAAAAUACUCAAGGAGAUGAGAUUCUUUCAUAAAUCAGGUACAUACCUAACAUCUGAGAGUGUCCUAAUCGUCCCAUCGUGAUCCUAAUUUUAACAGUACCAAUACUGAUUACCUUACUGGAUGAAUUGUUUCUCAUGUGCACAAAUACACCUUCAACCGAACUCUAUGUGGAAAACCAUUUUCUAUUGGGACACAUGUGGAAAAAAACAUCUUAAAUCUAGGAUCCACUUAGAUGUAAACUCAGAUCUAUCGCUCGUUGACACUAAUAAGAAAUCAUCACCAUUUUUGUCGGCCAAAUUAGCAUCAACUACAUCUUUCUCGUUACUCUCAAUUGCCCUUUUAUUUCACAGUUUAUAACAAUUUGUAACUUAACUUCUUACAAUAGCGACACCUUUUGUCUCACUUCUUUAAUGCUACCAAAACGGAAGCUUGCCUAUCUGCCUUGUUAUCCGAACCAAACUCAUUGUUGAGUUUGUUUUUACUCAACAAAUGACCCUUCACAUCUUCAAACGAAAGUUUGUCUCUACCAUAAAUUAGGGUCUCCCUGAAAGACUUGUAUGAAUAAGGUAAAGAGCACAGUAAUAGCAUAGUUUGAUCUUCAUCGUCAAUCUUAACCUCAACAUUCUUUAAAUCAUUCAAAAGACUAAUAAAUUGACUGAUGUAAUCUCUAAGAAGCUCACCUUCGUUCAUGCGAAACGUAAAUAGACGUCGUUUCAACACUAUACGGUUAGCCAAAGACUUAGUCGCAUAAAGAGUUUCUAAUCUUUUCCACAAUACAGAUGAGGUUUUCUCCAUCAAUAUCUCUUGUAAUACCCUAUUCACAAGGCACAACUAGAUUUCAGAAAGGGUCUUUUCAUCAAGCUCUUCCCAUUUUUUCUGAUCUAGAUUCUUAGGUUUUUUCCCGGUAAUGACAUUUUUCAGGUCGAUCUGACCUAGAAUUGUCAUUAUUCAAACUUGCCACAGAUUGAAAUUUGUGAUACCAUUGAACUUCUCAAUGUCAAACCUCGUUACUUCUUUCUCUGAACGAGUUGAUCUACGAAAAUUAAACUAGCUUUAAUACCACUUGUUAGGGAUCGACCCGAUUAAACAACAAAUAAGUACAAAAUAGCAGAAAAAAUUGAGAAAUUGAAUACACAUAAAUUUAACGUGAAAAACCCCCUCUAAAAAGGAUAAAAAACCACAUGCAAAGAUAAUUUUACUAUAAUAACAAAAGAACAGAGAGUACAAAAGAUGAAAAUAAAAACAAAACCUGGAAACCCGAAAAUAAAGAAUCCUCAAAACGUAAAUACAAGAUUCUCCAAAUGUGUUAUAAGUUCUAAUUUUUUAAUGGGUGUUUUUUUUUCUAAAGUUGCAAAAGAGCCUAUUUAUAGGCUAAAUUUGUAGGUCAAAUAAAAAAAAAAUAAUCUAGACUAAUCAGUAUUCGACUGAAACAAAUAAACAGAGUUUAACUAGGAGAUUAUCUCUCAAAUUUAACUAAAAUAUAAGACAUACUCAACACACGUUUUAUAAAAUAUUAUAAAAAUAUAUAUAAAUAAAUAGGACAAUUAUGAUAUUUUUAAUUAUGUUUGUGGAUUCUAAAACUUUUUAAUCUCUAUAUCAAAUAAUUACUCAAUUUUUUUUUGUUUCUUUUAUAUAUUAUACAAUAUUUUUGUGGAAAAAAAAACUUCGUUUUUGCUUUAAAAAAAAAACUUUGUUUCUCUCUCUAUCUCAAUGUUAUCAAAUGGUAUUGAAUACAUCCAUAAACGGGUUCAACAAUUUGAUGUGUAUCCAAACCACUUAAAAAAUGCAUAAAUCAGUUUUAUAUAUUGUAUUGGGUUAAUAUAUAUUUUUGAUAUAUUUAUCUGAUUUAUGUUUAUUUUAACUCAAAUACAUUUAUUUUUUCCCAUUUAAUUUUACUACAUUUGAAAAAAAAAUCCUAAAAAUAAAAAGUAGAAAUAAGAAACUAACAAAUUUAAAUCAUAUCUCAUUAUAAGUUCGUAUUAUAUAUAUUCUUUUUGAUAUAAUGCCUAGAACUACUCAUAACCCCUCUCCAACCCUUAAAUAAGAGGAUAACGCGUUUCAGCACACUCAAACUCACGUCCUUUUACACGGGCAACAAUGCCGAUGCCAAUUGAGCUAAAACUCAAUCGGCUACUAUAAUAUAAUUUUUAUCCCUUGACAAUUAGAUCUAUUUUAAUACUUAUACUUUGUUUGGUUGUUUUAGUAUUUGAACUUGACAAUUAAAUCCAUUUCGAUCCUUAAACUUGAUAUCUGUUAAGAUUUUGUUAUUUAACCAGUGUUUGUGGAACAAGACUAGAUUGGUCAAUCGGACUAAUUGGAUCGAGAACAAAUUGAUAUAUUGGACCAAACAAAGGGGUUGAAUCGAUUGAAUUAGAAACUACUCAAAAUCAAUAAAAAAUCGAAAAUUGAGACAAAAAUCAAUAGUUAAACCAAUUUAAUAAUUUUUUUAAAAUUUUUAAAUAUUUAUUUUAUUAUUGUUAGUCUAGUAGUUGAACUAAUCAAACUAAUUAAAUUAAAAAUUAGUGGUCUAACCGGUUCGAUUAUUAGAACAUUGUAUGCGACACUCAAAAAUUGACGUCAUCAACUGAAAAUUUUCUAUUUUCAAAUGAUGGUAUGACACAAUCUCAGUGUGUCACAUUAUUAAACUUUUAUAUUUUUUAAAUUUAGAGAUCAAAAUGGAUUUACCAAGUUCAAAUAUCAAAGUGAAGCAAAAAAAUAUAUAGAUACUAAAUUACACCUAAUUACCAUGUUUAGGGGCUAGUCGUUAGAACUCACUUGCUCUUUCCUUCUUCAUUAAUCCUUCUUUAAUCUUUAUCACCGUUGCUUAUAUUUUGAGUGGGAAUCUGAAAUCCCAACUCAUUCAUGCUAAAAUUGCAAACCUGAAGUUGCUUUUAUUUAUGGAAAUGUUAAAAUUCAUAAAUUACGUUAAUUCUUUUUUUGUUUCAUGAUUUUUUCUGAUAAUUUAAUUAAUUUAAUUAUCAAUUCAAUUCGUUAACAAUCUUUUAACUUAAUGAUAAAAGUACUAAAUUGUAGACAUAAAUACAUAGGUUGAAUUCCUUUUUAUCUUUAAUUAUCAAAAAAAAUUAUGGAUUAUAAAAUAAAGAUUUUUGGAAGGAACUUAAUGCUUGAAAUUAGUUAAAGAGAAUACAAUAGAGAUAAGGUAAGCAUUUUGUUAUUAGUUGGUAGCACAGAUGAGUUAUUUGUUUUUGGAAAAUACAUCGAAUGGGCCCUGCUUGUGUUUGUGAUUAUCAUUUCAAUUGGGCCUCUGUAAGGGUAACAAUUAACAGAGGGAGGGAGGGAAAUUCAUGCCCCAAGUUAAAUUGCAUUAAUUUAUUCACGCAUGCUUUUUUAUUUAAAAAAAUGGGAAUAUAUAUCUGAGGCCUUAUGUUUCAUAACAAGCAUGAUCAUCACUUGCACUGAUUAGUUACUGAUUUUUUCUUUUCCAAAAUCCAAAUGCAUUGCUUGAUAAAAAGUAAGGAUCGUUUAGUGAUUUAGAUGGAGGACUUCAAAACUUCAUAGCAAUUACAAAUAAAUCAGAUAUUUUAUCUAGUAGUAAGCCUAUGGUUUUUCACAAUUUUACGUUUAUUCUUUUUCAUGCAUCUAUACAUGUACAACUGUAGGAAGUUUAAUGUAUAUACAGUGGAAGAAGUGUAAUACAAGUUGUUUACUUCAAUCCUUAUCAUGAAAAAUCAAAAAAAUCGGCUCCGCAUUCAACAUUGCGAAUGCAAACAAUAUUAAUAUUGCAUAUUAUCAAGAUAUAAUAAUCAAACAUCACGUACAACAAAGCUUACAUUAUUAUGGUCAUAGUUCACGAGUUAUGCUACAUUGAUUAAGCAAAUGUCGAAGUAAUUAAUUUCAGCCUUUUUUUAUUUGGGGGAGGGGGGUGCAAUGUGGGUUAUUAGACUUGAAAACAGGAGGGAAAUCAUGAAGAAAUAUCAAAUUGGGAUGAACGGAGAUCAACGUUAGGUUCCAUAAGUUCAACUUGGGAUCAUAAUCAUGUCCAUUUUAAUAUGAAAAUUAUUUCAGAGUUUCAAAUCGAUUGUCUGUGGAGCUAUAUAUGCAGUAAAGAAGCCAAACAAGGUAGUGUAAGAAGACAUGCAUUUUGUUAGCCUAGAUGUUUUACUGAGCAGGAUUGAAUCUUGCAACGAAUCCGUUACGUGGAGAAUAGGAUAAAAUUAUAGAACCGGCUAAGAUAAAUAAUUAAGUGUGGUGUAGGAAAGGAACUAGGUAACUGUAAUUUUAAUUACUAGGUCAAGAACUACAUGUGGUCCUCAAAAGGCUAAGAGGUCCAUAGACAAAGCAAAAUAAUUAGCUCGACCAAAACCAGAUCAUUUUCUAGCUCCAGUUUUGUCAGAGAUAGGAAAUACACUACUAAUAUUCUAUCUCAAUAUCCAGGCCAGAUUAAUUUAUAGAAAACAGAUUCACAGUAGGGUAGAUUUUAGGGUUUCCGAAAUGAACAUUGAUCCUUUAGGGUUCCUAGCUUUUUUUUUAUACCAACAAAAGUGCAUGUAUGUUUCAAAAUAUGCAGCAUUCAAUUCAAAACUGGAAGGUCGAUGGUUUUUAUAUAAAUGAUCUCUUGUGCUGAAUUGACCAUAUGUAAAUGGAUUGGAUCCCCUCAUCAUGAAUAUUGCUGAGCAUAUCCAAAGGCCAUUGAUUGAAGGUCAUCCACCUCCUGGAAACCCCAUUGUCUGUUGUUUGUAUGCAGGUCUAAGGAAGACAUAGCAUGAGAAGCCUCCCCAAAAGUAGUAGUGGUAGUAUAGGAUGACACAUGAUCUUCUCCUGGCGAAGUGAAUGAAUUCUCGUAAUUACCUAAAGGGUUUGGAUUCAAAAACCCAUUCUCACAGUACGAGUUUGUGCUGGGAUGAUUGGGAAUGUUAGGAUUAAAUUUGAGUGCCAUGCUUGAAUUAUCUGAGUGGAACCAGCUUUGAACAUCUUGGAACUGAGAAGGAAGCUUUCCAUUAGGGUUUGCAGUAACAGAGCCAUUAACAAUGCUCUGAGAUGCUUGUUCCUUGAGAGAAGCAAGCUGCGACUGGAGAUUGACAACCUACACAAAUUCCAAACACAGGGAACUAAGCAAUGGAUUUAGAUAGAUACCUAUAUUUCAAAAAUCAAAUUAGGGUUUCAACUCAUCUAAUUACAUCAUAUCAAACAAGGUCAAAGGGGUGGUGAGAAAAACCUGCUGUUGGAGAGCAAAGAUAUGAGAAACACAACCAUAAAUGGGAUCUUGAAGCCUAGCUUUAGCUUCAUACGAAAUUGUGACUGCAGCUUCGCAGCGAUCACUGACAGGGAGGUGAGCAAGCAGCUUGGAGACAUUGCUUGCACCAAAAACCUUGUGGAUAGCUGCAAAAUGGGUUGCACCCUGUUCAUGGCAGAAAUAAGGUGCAAAAACACAGCCUCUAACACAUUUUCUUCUCAAGAACUUGCAGGCACCACAAGGGGCACCAGAACCUGUCAUUUUGAUUUAUUUUAGUGGGUAAUUUGAGAGAGGGGGGGGGGGG
rnacentral:lncRNA from 1 species